UCCAGACUCCUACGGGAGGCAGCAGUGAGGAAUAUUGGUCAAUGGGAGAGAUCCUGAACCAGCCAAGCCGCGUGAGGGAAGACGGCCCUAUGGGUUGUAAACCUCUUUUGUCGGAGAACAAAACCCGGGACGUGUCCCGGACUGCGUGUAUCCGAAGAAAAGGCAUCGGCUAACUCCGUGCCAGCAGCCGCGGUAAUACGGAGGAUGCGAGCGUUAUCCGGAUUUACUGGGUGUAAAGGGCGUGUAGCCGGGUUGACAAGUCAGAUGUGAAAUCCUGCGGCUUAACCGCAGAACUGCAUUUGAAACUGUUGAUCUUGAGUACUGGAGAGGCAGACGGAAUUCCUAGUGUAGCGGUGAAAUGCGUAGAUAUUAGGAGGAACACCAGUGGCGAAGGCGGUCUGCUGGACAGCAACUGACGGUGAGGCGCGAAAGCGUGGGGAGCAAACAGGAUUAGAUACCCCGGUA
rnacentral:rRNA from 1 species